AGAGUUUGAUCCUGGCUCAGAACGAACGCUGGCGGCGCGUCUUAAGCAUGCAAGUCGAACGGCAAGAGAGGAGCUUGCUUCUCUCCUAGAGUGGCGGACUGGUGAGGAACACGUGGGUAAUCUACCCUUAAGAUGGGGAUAGCUGCUAGAAAUAGCAGGUAAUACCGAAUAGUCUCAAUGGUUCAUAAGAAGUAUUGAGGAAAGGAAGCUACGGCUUCGCUUGAGGAUGAGCUUGCGUCCCAUUAGCUAGUUGGUGAGGUAAAGGCCCACCAAGGCGACGAUGGGUAUCCGGCCUGAGAGGGUGAUCGGACACAUUGGGACUGAGAUACGGCCCAAACUCCUACGGGAGGCAGCAGCUAAGAAUAUUCCGCAAUGGACGGAAGUCUGACGGAGCGACGCCGCGUGGAUGAAGAAGGCUGAAAAGUUGUAAAAUCCUUUUGUUGAUGAAGAAUAAGGGUGAGAGGGAAUGCUCAUCUGAUGACGGUAAUCGACGAAUAAGCCCCGGCUAAUUACGUGCCAGCAGCCGCGGUAACACGUAAGGGGCGAGCGUUGUUCGGAAUUAUUGGGCGUAAAGGGCAUGUAGGCGGUUAUGUAAGCCUGGUGUGAAAUCCUGGGGCUUAACCCUAGAAUAGCAUUGGGUACUGUAUAACUUGAAUUACGGAAGGGAAACUGGAAUUCCAAGUGUAGGGGUGGAAUCUGUAGAUAUUUGGAAGAACACCGGUGGCGAAGGCGGGUUUCUGGCCGAUAAUUGACGCUGAGAUGCGAAAGUGUGGGGAUCGAACAGGAUUAGAUACCCUGGUAGUCCACACUGUAAACGAUGUACACUAGGUGUUGGGGCAAGAGCUUCAGUGCCAAAGCAAACGCGAUAAGUGUACCGCCUGGGGAGUAUGCCCGCAAGGGUGAAACUCA
rnacentral:rRNA from 1 species